UUAGGUAAAAGAAAAUGCGGAUAGUGUUAAAGUGGCAAUUGUUGAACUGGCCUUUCAGAAAAAUGGCAUUCUCCAGUACCCACGGUUUGUACCCGACAUAACCAUCACCCACAAAGCUGAAAUGGAGUUUGCUCUCACGAAUCCGGAACAUGCUUGCACUUAAAUGGCAGGCGCUGCUGCUACACCCGAGUUCUUACGACUAAAAAUCGGAGGCUGGAAUAAACACUAAGAAAUGGCCAAUCCCGGACUUGCUCCGACGAAGCGAUCGCUCCAGUGUUAAGUCCUAACUGGCCGUGGACAAAAGGGGACUCCAAGGACCAGGAAACCCAAGUCGGGUCGCCAUUCGGCUUCUAGCUUCGCCUCCAAUCAGGACACUUCUGGUACUUGGGCAGACAAGGAAUGGAAAUCACAGGCACCUCCAAAUGGAAGCUUGCUAAGCCAAUAAACGCAUAUCGCAGGGAGGCCAGGGAUCCUGCGACAGAGGCGCGGAGGGCACUGAAACAAAACUAGGUUCUUUGGCGGCAAAGGAGAGGAGGGCGCCAGGAAGACUGCGCUGGGAAAGAAAAAGCUCAGGCGCCGCUACAGCCGAAGGACUCCGGAACAGAGGCGACGCGGCCCUGCCAGCCUGGCUGCCACUAAGGAACUGUGUUCUGGGCAACCGCGGAAACUGCACGUUAGAACCCAUCAGAGCUGUGUAUUCGGCGGUGCCACCGAGAAAACCCGCGCACAGAACAACUAGCUGAGCCGAGACCAAGAGAAAGUGGGCGGAGAGAAUGGCUUGCUGGGAAUCCGCAAAGGACCUCAACUACCACUGCUGCCAGCCACAAACUUCCACUUUGGCGCCAACCAUGGGUGCUGUUAACCUAGAAUCUGGCGACUCAAAGAAAGGAGGCUUACCGCCACCCAGGCUUGGUGCACAUAUGUGCUGUGACAGGAAAACUGUCAGGGACGCGCUGCUGGUCAGAGAGCAAAUGGGAACACCGGGAAAGGUGACCGGGAAAGGCUGCACCAACUGGCCUGAGAAGGAGAAAGGGACCGUCCAGAACGCGGAGAAAGGUUCUCUCUGCUCAACUAAAGGCAGUGCUAAGGAGAAAAAGCAGGCUCCUUCUCUUUAGGGUGCGGCGCUAGUGAACUGCGAUUUCAGGUGCUGGCGUCACUGGACCCUGCCUACAAAAGUCAACCCCAGCUUAUGGCUUUGCUGAGGCCAAAGGCAUCGCUUCUGGCUCCUUCAGCGGUGCAGCAAGUAAAUCUACGCCAGCUGGUAGCAGCAAUGUCGUUGUGUGUAUUGGAGAAUUUCGCUGUGGACUUGAAAGGAAUAUCGCUGUGGAUGGGUAGCUUGGAGAGCGCCAGUGAGGGUCCUCCAGAGGACCCAACGGGAAAGAUCCUUUCUGGACCGGUGGGAGCUCCAGCAAGCAGCCAUGUGAGGGAAGCAGGAAGCCAAUGCAGGCUGGGAGUGAAAGGAGCUCUUGGAGGGCUGGUGGCCCUCUGAGCAGCCAUGACUGGGGAGAAGGCACUCAAGAAGUCUGUGAAUCCGGCAGUCCUGUCUGACCAGUGUCCUGUAUUCUGCUCAUGCAGACGGUGGUGACGAGCAGGAUCAGAAAUCUCACUUACUUAACAGCUCUGAGCCUCCGAGACAUGCAGCAGUUGGCAGCCCUGUGAACCUGGCCUGGGAAAACACUUGAACUUGGUGCCUGCACCUUCUGAGUGGCCUUUCUGGCAUCUACCAGUUCUGCAGCCUCUACCACUUUAGACUGAAGAAUGACAGAUGCUGAUUCUGACCUAUGCAUCCUACCUACAGAAGGUCUCUUCUCUCUCUCAUGGGUCGGGAAACUAGUCCAGAACUUUAGCUCAUGUGCGUGGUAUCUAAAGAGGCAAGUGCAAUUAUGGUCCUAAAGUCAGCAUCAAAUUCUGAGCAACAGUGGAAGUGGGAUUAGGGUGGAAGUAGGGUCUGGUUCAGAUUGAAGCCUUUAACUUGGAAAACUUCCUUUCUGGAUUUAGCUAUGUAGCAACUCUUUGGUCUUCAGUUUCAGGAUCUACUUUCCCCGUUCUCUCCCUACCCAUGAAGCACCACCACUCUCAGGCCCUACCCACAGGGUAGACUAAGGCGCCCAACUCUAUUCCUGUUCCCAGAAAGGACUGGCAAAUAUCCUGGCUUGUCUCCCUGUAUCCAUGUUAAUGAAAUAAACACAUAUAGAAGAGAACAAAGGAUAUUUAUGUGAGUAUUUUGGAUGGAAGAACACUUAGAAAAAGGAAAACCCACAAACUUCCAAGGUGAAACACGCACAAAGAGUAAAAUCACUGUCUAAAAGAGAAUGUGAGAGAGUGUGAGAAAUCAGAACACCCUGAAUGGAAAUUACUGCAAGAGCUGCCCUCUUCAGAAGCAAGCUGCCCACAGAAAAGUAUUAGAAUAUGGUGUCAUUCCAAGUAUGAGGAGAAGCUGUGCAUAGAAUAACCCUGCACUCUUGUUGAAAUAUAAAUGUAGCAGCUAUCCUAAAGAACUAUCUGGCAAUGCUCAGUAACUUUUGGGUUAUGCAUUUUCCAUGGUAUAGUUGUAUUCUUGGGUAUCUGUCCUAGACAAAUUCUCUCCGAAUUCUGUAAGUGACUAUUAUAUUUGAUGAUGGCCACCAAGUGGCAAUCUGACUGUCCAUGGGUGGAUGUACAGUGGAGUGAGGCAAACUGUCAUAGUCCCAUCAGAGGAUAAUAUGCUGGAUCUGGAAGAGGCAGGUGAAAUGUGUAUAAAAAGAUCAUAGAAACAUACAAAUGAAUAAAAAGUAAUAAAAAAUA